CCUACGGGUGACAGCAGUGAGGAAUAUUGGUCAAUGGUCGUGAGGCUGAACCAGCCAAGUCGCGUGCGGGAAGACGGCCCUACGGGUUGUAAACCUCUUUUGUCAGGGAGUAAGGUGCAGGUCGGGAGCUGCUGUGUGAGUACCUCAUGAAAAAGCAUCGGCUAAUUCCGUGCCAGCAGCCGCGGUAAUACGGAGGAUGCGAGCGUUAUCCGGAUUUAUUGGGUUUAAAGGGUGCGUAGGCGGAAUAUCAAGUCAGCGGUAAAAUUUCGGGGCUCAACCCCGUCGUGCCGUGGAAACUGAUGUUCUUGAGUGGGCGAGAAGUAUGCGGAAUGCGUGGUGUAGCGGUGAAAUGCAUAGAUAUCACGAAGAACUCCGAUUGCGAAGGCAGCAUACCGGCGCCCAACUGACGCUGAAGCACGAAGGCGUGGGUAUCGAACAGGAUUAGAUACCCCGGUAGUC
rnacentral:rRNA from 1 species